GCUGUUUUCUUUUACAAAAUUCAGCUUGUGAACCUCCUCCAUCAACUGAUUCUGCACUUCACAGAUGCUUGAGGAAGACAGCUGCAAACACAAAGCUGCCCCUGACUAUAACAUGCUGUGUUCGGGCCUUGAUGGAAAGGAAUGUUCCAGAAUUGCCUCACUACGGUAACUUCAAGAGAUGCUGUAUUUCAAUGAUCCCAGCCUGCUGGAUGUCCAGAAACUGCAGCUGUGGUAAACACUCCUUUACAGCUUUUCAAAGAUGUCACAUUUGGCACAGAAAUCCUUUAGCCACAAGUUUUCAGUGUCUGGAUUUCACUUGGACAUACUUCUCCUACGUCUUAACACACCUCUGCAGACCGAUCACUAACAGGGGUGUUGUUGAAAUACCAGUUGUUGAUGUACGCUGCAUUAUUUGUGACAGCUUUACAUCUCUGCUACAAGCAUGUAGCAUGGGCCUUUCCUGGAGCUGGAGCUAGACCUCUGAUCUGAAAGACCAUGGCGCGUUCCCUCAUGACAGCUCUGUGUGAUGGUGCUUUUGGAAAGUGAGGGGGCAAGGGGAUCCAUCGAGUGGAUGAGCUGGUUCCUGCGACUGGCUGCAGGAGGAAGCUACACUGGAGGAAAGAUGGAUCCAUUAUUCUGUGGUACCCCCAGUUCUUGACACAUUUCCCUGAGGGGCUGGCACUGGAGCUGACGGCACAUAGCACCUUCCAGUGGUGGGACCUGGCAGCUUGCUCCAACACUGUUCGGUCUCAAAUACUCCCAUCAUGAGGUGUCCAGCACCCACAGCCACUCCAUGUCCCUGGGGCGGUGCAACAGGGACCCAGAAACACCAGUGCACAUGAAUAGCUCUGUUACAGGCUAUUUUAAUUCAGGCAAUAGAUUUGCUGAAAACAGGAGCAGCAAGUUUCCUGGGAGCUGGGCAAGGUGUUCCCAGUAGCCCAUGAUAUGAUGCAGCAUUUUUUUGCCAGUAUGGGGCACUGAAGCUAAGGGAAGAACAACUUUCCAUGUACUAUUUUUGGCCAUCUUAGAAAGAACUCUAAUCACGGCCCCUGGCUUGUCAUCUUUUCAUGAAAGCAGCAUAAGCCAGAGCUUCCAGCAAGCCUCAUAAAACUCUGGAUUUACAGGGGACCUUUCAUCUACAUCCAUUUAAAAUGUUCCCUGCCAGGCAGCUGACUAUGGACAGAAAUCAUCAUUUGAAAAGAUCUUACUUUAAGG